AACAAGCCAAACGAUGCCGUUUGCUUACCCAAAAACGUUUGUUUCUUACCAAAAAUCACUUUCUUCUCGUGUAGUUGUGUGUCAUCUCUUCAUCUUCCUCAGCUCGCAGUUGCUUUAGCUUCGCAAGUGUUCCUCCCUGGCACCUCCGUGCAUGUGUUCAGUGAAGCAAUUUUUGCAUGAAGCAUCACCGUAUUCGCACAGUGCAGAAGGUGAAAGCAGGACGAGCUGCCCGUGCACAGUAACAAAGAAUCGCAAAGCAAGAAGCAAACACAAAUAAAGACAAAACCAACCCUAAAGGAAGGGUUUGCAUUUGCUCACUGCACUACUUGCAAGGCACCUUAUCAUUUGCGUGUUCAUGAUGCUGCCGUAGGAAAUGGCGUACCUUGAAAUUUCGGUUUUUUGUCACCAGAGACAUUUUGUUUAUAUUUCUGGCAGUUCAGCUUAUAGGUGAAUUGUUUCCAUCUUCGUAGCCAUGUUGAUGCCAUUUGUAAUAAUUUGUUAAUUGCUCAGAUGUUCUGAUUCUACAUGGCUGCCUGUGGCUCUGUAUUUCCUUUUUCUGCAGGUCAUUGCUUCGUUGGCAUAUUUGGUUUAUCUAAUAGAUGGUUACCAGCAGUACUGGCUUUGUCUUGUUUGGGGUUUUGAUAGUGAGCCAAGCUUUUACUACAUAUUUGGAGCCCUCUUGUUUUUUGUGUUGCUUGGCCUAUCAGGAUGCUUCAUUACUUGUUAUGAUCGAAGAGUUCGCAACGAUUUGGCACAGCUUUGUCGAGAAAUCUGUCUUUGUUGCUGUCAUCCUGGCUUGUAGCAACACGUUCUUCAUCAAGCAUUGGUAAGGGAAAAACCAUGAUGGCACAGUAAAGUAUGGUUUCAGCCUAGUGAAGGAGAGUGUUAAUCAUUUCUCACACAGAAGAGCAAAUAAGAGAGCUUCAGAGAAGAAACAACAAACAGCAGAGAAGAGGAGACGAAGAACAUAUUAGAACAAAUGAUGAAGAUGAAGAUGAAGACUUGGGAGUUAGGGUUUUAUAAUUGAGAAUGGACUAAUUUGAGGCUUUUAAACAAAAUUUAGACACUAAUUUGAGUUAAACGUUGCGAAUGACUUUUGGACUAAUGUGGAUUCACGUUUCUGAGAGUGGUGGAUCCAUUUGGUCAUUUUACAUGGUCGGAGACUUAAUUGAUGCGAGUUGGGAAUUUUAGGGACCAUUUGGAGCAUUAAUUCGAAUAGAAAAUUAAAAUACAUUGAAGUGUAAAUAAUGAUUGGUAGGUCCAGCUGAGAAAAGUGUUUUUGUUGUGUUCUGCACUUCUUUGUAUCUUAUAGUUGUGAUUGAGGUGAACUGGUAGUCUGGUAUGAAAUGU